AAGGGAGAAGGGGAGGCAACUCAAGGCAGUUUGCAGGGAGGAAAGGUAGGCACCUGAAAAAGACCAGACCCAGACCGUGAGGAAAAGACCCUGGAGUGUGGACCAGACUCAGUAACAGACCCUGAAAAGCUGAGGGAAGUCGAGGUUCUGACUCAAGCUGGUGGCAGAUAUUCGAGCACUCCCCACUCAAGACACCUGACGUGGGUGCACCAGUGAGAGAAAGGAUAGAGCGUGUGAGAUGAAAGGGCUGGUCUUAUUAAGCCCUACAAUACUCUGGGGUCCAAGCAAUCCUGCUGUGGGACCCUGCUAAGUGAACAUAAUGCCGAGGAAGAACAGCUCUCCUCUUUUUGCCAAAGCCUGCCAAGGUGUCAAGGCUUGAGAAAGAGUGGUGGGUGCCACAACAGAGAUCAGGUUCAGCCAUCAAGGCCAGCAACAGUGCAGCAGCUCAGCCCAGAAGACUGGGCUGACAUGCAGGCCUAUGUUAGACGUCUCUUGGGAACUCUUAGGCAUAUCUUUUGGUGAAAGGGUGCAGGGGAUGGAGGGGAAAGUUGGCAAACUUUUACAGAAUUGGUGGGGAUGUGAGUACCAAAUACAAUGGGACCUUGCUCACCUGCUGGUAAAGCUUGAGGAUCAUUUAGUUACACCGGAGUUCUGAAUAUUCUAGUCCCUUUUAAAGGAUGUCAUGAGAUGUCUGAUCUACCAGGACCAGCCCUGCUAUUCUGCUCUGUCCUAGUAAUCAGAGGUCUCUAACCUCUGAACCACCAAGAACUUGAGCUUCCAUGAUUACAGAGAAGGGCUCUUUCUCCCAUGUAGAGAACUAGGAAGUAGCUGGUGACCACUAUGUCCACAUGGGCUCCCUCACCCGAUCAUCAAGGUCCCCUGUGCUAUCCAUAGCCUUCCCUCACCCUGGCAAAGGUGAUGCAAAGCCUUUACUCUACACACCCAUCCAACCUGAGCCUUAUCAUCUAACAUACUCACAUGGGGUCUUAUUGUACUCUAUGCACCCCCAGUUCAAGAGGAUGACAAGCGAACCUUACUGUAAAUAUCUUUUCAUGUUUCUAAUCCUCCCACACAUGCCUCCGGUUUCCUCCCUGGCCCUCCAAGCUUACAGUCUGUUUCCUUCUGUGGUGAAGUUGGGCAAGUUCCGAUGCUUGGGGUGGAGAGCCAUGAAUCAUGAGUGAGAGGCUCUGGGAACACCAAGUCCACACUACUCUACUUACAAGUCCUAAACUGCCUAGUGGGAUCCAACGCUGACCCCAGUGGAGUUCUUUACCCAUGACUGGUGUCCUCAGGAAUGUGUCUGUGGGAAGAAAAGUCUCAAAUGCUGGGGAAUGGAGCCAUCGAUAAUUUCUUUCCUAUGUUGGAGUGCAAGAGAGCCCCUAAGGCUGGAGCACUCCCCAAGUAAGCAGGCAGAGACAGAGACCUGAGUCCUACUGCUGAGUCAUUUAAAUCUGCUUUAGAUCGGGUUUUCCCAGGGCAUGGAAAGGACAGGGCUCCCAGUGGAGAUAUCAUGUAGCUAUAGGGCCUAGAAGUAUUUUUUCAGUAGAUGAAAUUUAGAAAUAAUUUGAAUAUUUUAUGCUGGGGAGGUAGCUUGUGGAGUGAAAUGGUCGGGUAAAGGAAACACUGAGUUCAAGUGCUUCUUUAUAAAGGACACUUAACUGAUCUAAAUAUUUGUCAAGCUGAAUCGCUACAUCCACUCUCACCUGCCUGAAAUCAAUAUGCUCAAGUCAAACGCAUUUGCCUGCAUCUGAAUGUGGAGAAUGAACUUCUUAAAGCUGAACUGGCAGCUGGAAGGGGAGAGAGAAGAGCUGGACAGGGAGCCAGGACACCGGAGUUCUUUUCCACUGUGGUGGGAUCUGGAAGAAGCUGUUGAAUCUCUGUAGAGUUAGCUUUUAAAUGCUGUGAGUCUUUGGAAAGCUGUGCGAAUAACUGCUAAACACCCAGGACAGCUUAUGCAUUUUUUGAAAAAGGUUCCUGGUGCUGGUUCCAGCAGAAUAGACACAGAGAUGCAUGGCCUAACUCCCACUCCCUCUUCAGGACUGAGCCACGCAGCCCCCCAUCUGCCAGAAGUGUUAGCUGUUGACGGCUCACAGCUGAGUCCCUCUCCAGGCAUUGCUGAAAAGAGCCACCUUGCUCUAGGAUGUGCCCCCACCCUGGGGGCAGCAUACAUUCCAAGUGAUUAGUCCAUAGUGUGGUACAAAGGUUGUACCCAUCUUGCCUGAAUUCAGGAUCUCUUGGAAAACCACCCCAGCUCUGCAGCUCCUGGUGGGGUGCUGAGGCCUCUGCUGCAGCUGCAUCGCAGUUUACUUUCCCCUCUGCCUAGUCCUGCUGCCUUCACUCCCCAACAGGUAUUGUUCCCCAGAGAACUCCCUGCCCCCAGUCACCUGUAAGCAAAUCUCCACUGCAGUCUGUGGCCUGGGAAACCUGCUCUAGGAUCCCAAAGUGAACACAGCUUCCCAUUGAAAUGUGUCUUUGGGUGUUAAUCUGUCCUGCCAUCUUUACAUCUAAUCAAGAGGUAGAGCUUCCCCUGGUGUUCCUGCUGGGUACAUAAAGGAUCUUUUCCAUUGUC
rnacentral:lncRNA from 1 species